ensembl:lncRNA MUC20-OT1 MUC20 overlapping transcript
CACCACUGCAAGAGGGGAAGUUGCUACUGUGAUGAAUUCUGCCAUGUGGCACCAGACUGCCACCCAGACCACAGUGUCCUCUGCAACCCUGCUUCUCAGAUGACCAAGAUGGUGCUGCAGAUGGUGCUGAGGAUGGAGAACCCACCAAGCCCCGCUAGGAGCCACCUAGACUGGAUGCAGAGCAUGGUUCAGCGAGUUCUCCAAACCAGCCUCCCAGGAAUGCCAUUCACCAUGGCUGUGAGGAGAAUAAAGAAGAGAGCCUGACUCCUCUCCUGAGGCCCCUUCCCCACCCUGAGCCAGCAGGAUCCACGGAGCAGAGGUCAUCUGUCCCCAGCUUGGCCCACUGAGGCCAGCAUGGCUGGGCCCAGGAUGCUUGUCUCUCAGCUCCCAUCCUGUGUACUUGUCAAAG